rfam:Heterocephalus glaber contig86181, whole genome shotgun sequence.
GGAUUAGGGUGAUCUGGCUGCAACAUCUGUCACCCCAUUGAUCUGGAUCACCAGGAUUGAUUUGGCUGAUCUGGCUGGCUAGGCAGGUGUCCCCUUCCUCCCUCACUGUUCCAUGUGUGUCCCUCCUGAAGCUGCACGCUUGGUCGAAGAGGACGACCACCCCCAAUAGAGGAGGACCAUUUUCUCAGUCAAGGGUAUAUGAGUAGCUGCACUCACCUGCUAGAACCUCCAAACAAGAUCUCAAGCAUGAACAUACCUCUCAGGAAUACGCAUUCAUAACUGUUCUAGCAACAAAACUGGGUGCAGAGAUUCUUCCUUAUGUUUUCC